rnacentral:rRNA from 1 species
CAAUAGCGUAUAUUUAAGUUGUUGCAGUUAAAAAGCUCGUAGUUGGAUUUCGGCUGGGAUUUGCCGGUCCGUCGUUACGAUGUGCACUGGCCAGUCCUAUCUUGUUGUCGGGGACUAGCUCCUUGGAUUCACUUCCUGGGACUAGGAGCUGACGAGGUUACUUUGAGUAAAUUAGAGUGUUCAAAGCAAGCCUACGCUCUGAAUACAUUAGCAUGGAAUAACACGAUAGGACUCUGGCUUAUCUUGUUGGUCUGUGAGACCAGAGUAAUGAUUAAGAGGGACAGUCGGGGACAUUCGUAUUUCAUUGUCAGAGGUGAAAUUCUUGGAUUUAUGAAAGACGAACUUCUGCGAAAGCAUUUGUCAAGGAUGUUUUCAUUAA